CAGCCGCCGCGGUAAUACCGGCGGCCCGAGUGGCGGUCACUUUUUUUGGGCUUAAAGCGUCCGUAGCCGGGUUGGGAAGUCCUCCGGGAAAUCUGGCCGCUUAACGGUCAGAAUGCCGGAGGAUACUCCCAGCCUAGGGAGCGGGAGAGGCCGAGGGGAUUCCCGGGGUAGGGGUGAAAUCCUAUAAUCCCGGGAGGACCACCUGUGGCGAAGGCGCUCGGCUGGAACGCGUCCGACGGUGAGGGACGAAGGCCAGGGGAGCAAACCGGAUUAGAUACCCGGGUAGUCCUGGCGGUAAACGAUGCGGACUUUGUGUCGGACAAGCUAUGAGCUUGUCCGGUGCCGGAGGGAAACCGUUAAGUCCGCCGCCUGGGGAGUACGGCCGCAAGGCUGAAACUUAAAGGAAUUGGCGGG
rnacentral:rRNA from 1 species